UAUCAUUACGAGAAUUUAUAUUAAACGAAUCUCUUUUAUACGAGGAUUUAUUAUAUAUCAUAUAAUUCAUUUUUAUUUUUUUUUUUUAAUCUAUUUUGUAAAGAUAAGAAAUUAAUCGAAAAUGUUUCAAAUUUCAUAUAUUUCAUUGUAAAAAAAUGGUGUCUAUUUAAAAGUGUUGUUCUAUUAUUAGUAUUAAAGAAUGUAAACAUUCCAUUAUUAAUUUAAUAAGUUGUAAAAAAAAAAGCAAGUAAAAAUGACUUCACAUACUACACCGAUUGUCGACGAAUUGGCAAAGGACUAUGCAAAUUAUUUAAAACUAGAUUUAUCUAGUCAAUUGCAGAAAUCUAUAUAUAUUAAAAUAUAAAAUACAAUACAACAUUACAUUCCAGAUGAAGAAUUUUCAUGAAACCAUUGAAGACGUAAUGAUGCGUUUAGAAGAAUUUCAAUCAAUUAUUGAAAUGGUUCAAUCUGAAAAUAGUCAAUGUAUCGAUCAACAUAUACCAAGAUUAAAAGAUAUGCAACAAGAAGUUAUCAAUCUUAGUAGGCGAAUAGAUGCAUUAGAACAUGUUAUAGCAAUGAUUAAUGUAAAUCUAACAACGUUAGAAGCUGCUGUUGAUAAUGCAGAAACUGAACUAGGAAUUUCUGAUAAAUUAUUUGGAAUGUUAAAUCGUUUAUCUUUCUUUAAAAAAACUCAGGAACCUAUAGUAUCAAAUAGAUUACCAGAAUAUGAACCUCCAACAAUUUAUAAAACUGAUGAUUAUUUUAAGAAUGAAUGAAAUGAUAUUUUAUUUUGAAAUAAAAUAAUAAAUUCAAUUAUUUUAAUAAUUAUAUCAAAUAAUGAAAAAAAGUUCUUAAUUCUUAAGAGGAUUAAUAUAAAAUGUUACAAACAGAUACAUUCAUUAACAAAUAAAAUAUCAUUACAAUUUGAAUUUAAUAAUAAAUACAAAAUAAUUUUUUGAAUUUUAUAUAUUUUACUAAUUUUAAUAUUUUACAAAUCUAGCCAUUAACAUGCUGGAAGAGUACAAGUCUUUAAUUGUGCUUUCUUUUCACCUAAUGAACAACUUCCCCCUAUGCAAUGUCUCCAUCUUGUUAGUUUGCCUAUACCACAAGUAACACUACAACUUGACCAGUUUCCCCAUUGAUCCCAUAUUUUUGGUCCUUGACGACCCAUUCUAUCUAUCAUUAAAAUAUUAUUUGAUUAUAUUAUUACAUUUGUUAAAAAAUUAUAAAGUAUUAAAUUUUAAAAUUAAUAUUAUUUAGUAAUAUAAUUAGUAACAAUGAAAUCAAUAUUUUUAAUAAAAACAAUCUCAUGAUAACCUUUAAAUUUAGAAUAUUUAUAUUUAUUGAAUAACAAUAAAAUAAUAAAUUUUUUGCUUAUAACUUA